rnacentral:rRNA from 1 species
UACGUAGGGGCCUAGCGUUGUCCGGAUUUAUCGGGCGUAAAGAGCUCGUAGGCGGUUUGGUGAGUCGGGUGUGAAAUCUCCACGCUCAACGUGGAGGGGCCACCCGAUACUGCCAUGACUAGAGUCCGGUAGGGGAGUGUGGAAUUCCCGGUGUAGCGGUGAAAUGCGCAGAUAUCGGGAGGAACACCGGUGGCGAAGGCGGGUCUCUGGGCCGUAACUGGCGCUGAGGAGCGAAAGCAUGGGGAGCGAACAGG